rnacentral:piRNA from 1 species
UUGCUCUGCACCCCCGGCUCUUUCCUGGU